GUUUAGUCCUAAAAGACGAUUCAACUCUGACUCUGUUUGGGUCUUCACAAUCACAACCUGGUGAUAAAAGUGAGGAAAACGCAUCUUAAACUGAGCUUGCAUCCAGCAGUUUUGGAGUGAUGGGGCUUUGAUGAAGUUUUACCAACAGUCUCAGUAUGAUCCAAGACAUCCAGCUGGGGUGUAAGGUCCACACUGCGACCACAAGCGGCUACUGCAGAAAACGGUGAAGUGCCUUUGGUUGGGAAAGACAGAAAACUCCUGCAUACUGCCCUCUAGGGUGUGACGAGACACUUAACCCACGAGACGAGAUUGGGUUCACAAGAUCGAGAGA